GAUGAACGCUGACAGAAUGCUUAACACAUGCAAGUCGAUGGGGAAGUGGUGCUUGCACCAUGGCAACCAUGGCGGACGGGUGAGUAACGCGUAAGGGACUUACCUGCAGGACUGGGAUAACAGGGGGAAACUCCUGACAAGACCGGAUAAUGUCAUGGAGCUGCAUGGCUUUAUGAUGAAAGGAGACGCCUGCGGAGAGCCUUGCGUCCUAUUAGCUAGUUGGUGAGGUAAUGGCUCACCAAGGCGAAGAUAGGUAGCCGGCCUGAGAGGGUGGACGGCCACAAGGGGACUGAGAUACGGCCCUUACUCCUACGGGAGGCAGCAGUGGGGAAUAUUGGACAAUGGGGGCAACCCUGAUCCAGCAAUCCUGUGUGCACGAAGAAGGUUUUCGGAUUGUAAAGUGCUUUCAGCAGGGAAGAAGUAAGUGACGGUACCUGCAGAAGAAGCGACGGCUAAAUACGUG
rnacentral:rRNA from 1 species